rnacentral:rRNA from 1 species
AGCCUGAUGCAGCGACGCCGCGUGGGGAUGGAGGCCUUCGGGUUGUAAACCUCUUUCGCCAGUGAAGCAGGCCUGUCCCUUUUGUGGGUGGGUUGACGGUAGCUGGAUAAGAAGCGCCGGCUAACUACGUACCAGCAGCCGCGGUAAUACGUAGGGCGCGAGCGUUGUCCGGAAUUAUUGGGCGUAAAGAGCUCGUAGGCGGCUGGUCGCGUCUGUCGUGAAAUCCUCUGGCUUAACUGGGGGCUUGCGGUGGGUACGGGCCGGCUUGAGUGCGGUAGGGGAGACUGGAACUCCUGGUGUAGCGGUGGAAUGCGCAGAUAUCAGGAAGAACACCGGUGGCGAAGGCGGGUCUCUGGGCCGUUACUGACGCUGAGGAGCGAAAGCGUGGGGAGCGAACAGGAUUAGAUACCCUGGUAGUCCACGCCGUAAACGUUGGGCACUAGGUGUGGGGGGCCUUUUCCGGGUCUUCCGCGCCGUAGCUAACGCAUUAAGUGCCCCGCCUGGGGAGUACGGCCGCAAGGCUAAAACUCAAAGGAAUUGACGGGGGCCCGCACAAGCGGCGGAGCAUGCGGAUUAAUUCGAUGCAACGCGAAGAACCUUACCAAGGCUUGACAUGUGCCGGUCGGCUCCGGA